rnacentral:rRNA from 1 species
CACAAGCGGAGGAACAUGUGGUUUAAUUUCGAUGAUACGCGAGGAACCUUACCUGGGCUUAAAUGUAGAGCGACAGAUCGGGAAACUGGUCCUUCUUUCGGACGAUCUACAAGGUGCUGCAUGGUUGUCGUCAGCUCGUGCCGUGAGGUGUCGGGUUAAGUCCCAUAACGAGCGCAACCCUUAUCGUUAGUUGCCAGCGGGUAAUGCCGGGGACUCUAACGAAACUGCCGGUGUAAACCGUGAGGAAGUGGGGAUGACGUCAAAUCAGCACGGCCCUUAUGUCCAGGGCGACACACGUGUUACAAUGGCCGGUACAGAGGGCAGCUACCUGGUGACAGGAUGCAAAUCUCCAAAACCGGUCUCAGUUCGGAUCGAAGUCUGCAACUCGACUUCGUGAAGCUGGAUUCGCUAGUAAUCGCGCAUCAGCCAUGGCGCGGUGAAUACGUUCCCGGGCCUU